UUAUAAUAUUUUAUUUGAAUUCUCUUGUUCUUGGUCGGCUUUGAAGACCAGUGUGACCUCUUUCGAGGGAAAGGAGUCCAUCGAGUCUGCUUCCAUUCACCGCUUCUUCCGCAAAGCAUCUCCUUUCCCUCGAUUCCUUCCUAUUCUCCCGCAGAAAGAUUUCCGGCCCCCUCCCAGGUCUCUCGUUCUCGCUAUGGAUGAGGAGUACGACGUCAUCGUCCUAGGGACUGGGCUCAAGGAAUGCAUCCUCAGCGGCCUGCCGUCCGUCGAUGGCCUCAAGGAAUGAUUACUAUGGAGGAGAGUCGACCUCACUCAAUCUCAUCCAGCUCUGGAAAAGGUUUAGGGGCAGUGAUAAGCCCCCCAGCACUUUUGGGUUCCAGCAGAGAUUACAAUGUUGACAUGAUUCCAAAGGUAUCUUUUCUGCUGUUCUUAUUCCCACAAUGUUGUCCCAAAAUGGAAGUUCAUUGCUUUUGUCUCAACUGAAGCUGAGACUGACCAUCCAGAUAUAGAACUAAAGCCAGGAAUUGAUCUUCUGGGACGAGUAGAUGAAUCAUUUUUUGAUACUUAUGACGGAUAUGAACCAGUCAACGACCCUUCACUUGAUAAUUGCUUCAUUUCAACUAGCUAUGAUGCUACAAGUCAUUUUGAAUCAACUGUUGUGGAUGUUCUUUCUAUGUAUACCAAGAUCACUGGAAGGGUAACAUCUUUUUUGUGCUUUUCAAUCCGACUUCCCUUGACAUUCUCCUUUUUUCAUCCAUAGUAAAAAUAUCCAUGUAUCAAGUUAGGCAGUCACUAUUUAUAUUUUUAGUGUACUACCUCUGUGUAUGGCACUUUCCAACUCUCGGCAAUCUAAAAUAUAUUUACAACUUGCAUACUUGAUCAUUUUGACUUUUUCAUUCUGAGGUGAACUUCUAGGACCAAGUAGUCAAUCUAGAAUCUGGUUCCCACAUUACCAUACUUAAUGAUACCUUCUCGGGUUAUUUUGGGAUUCGACACUUAGGAGGUAUAUGGCUACUGCCUGGUUCAAGUUUUGAUUUUAUGCUGGUUAGCUCUUGUUGUUUGUGGCAUUUUACAUCUGUUUGUCCAUGUUAUAUAAGACUAUAAGUUAUGGCAAUAAUGUAUCUAGCAGACAGUAUUAUUGGCAUUUUGUAUUCAACCUCCUUUAUUAUGGCCUUAUUCCUUAUAUUCUCCUGUUAAGUAUUACAUUUUUCACCAAAUUUAUUUUUCGUGAGCAAUGAUUCUUUUUUUCCCUAACAUGAUAAAUUGCUGGUAGGAUGUUUGUGGCUCGAUCCUUUUCCUUAUUAUCUGCUUCUUGUUAACUAAAAUUCUGUCACUAGAGUUUUUAUGGACUAGGCCUACAAGAACAACUUGAGCAACCCAAGCCAUUAGUAUUGGAGAGGGAGAGAGAUCAAAUAUUUACCAAUCCGAUCCUGAAUCAUAGCCUCCAUCAGUAGGGAUUACUAUGGGCUUAAACCUGCUGCUUAACAUCAUUCCAUUGUUUUAAAAGGUCUCUUUGCUGACAUUUUCAGCCAAGGGAGUCUCAUUUUAAGCCUCUAUAGCCUUAUUUCAAGCUUUUAUGCUAUCUCCUGCACUCUUCAUUUCAUUACAAGAUCAAAGCUUGAGAAACCCUAUAAGUUUUAGUUCAAAUUGAUAAUAUCAUUUCAUUUUUGUUAGUUUGCAAUGCUACACGAUCUACUACCAGGAUGAUCCACUGCUCGAUGAGGUAAGAGGUUCACUGUAUCCAUCAAAUUUCAUUUUAUAAUGUAUUGCAAAAGUGGAUCAGAAUCUGGAAUUUUGAAUUAUCAGCAUCAUAGCUCCCUUUCCCGCCUCUACUAGGUGUAGCAACAUAUUAUGUUGCAAUAUGUAGUUUACCUAUUGAUUAGCUUCUAUCAUGUAUUGACAAUGUUGACUAAUAUCAUAUAUUGAGAGCAAUACUAUUCCUGGGUUCCAUAAAUUGAUGCUAUUGAUCUCUAGACACAGGCACUUCCUGAGGCAUCACAUAUCAUGCAUUGUAAUAUCUACCAAUAUUAUAUGCUGAAGGAACAAUAUUCACCAUAACCGCCUCCUAAGGCACCGCAAAUUAGGUUUUGGUAUCAGUAGGGGGAGGAUGAUGCAUCUUCUACUCAACUUGUGAAUAUCGAAGUUUUUAUUCUCGGUCUCAAACUCUCAUGUAUGAUUGACCUUGUAUGCUAACUUUAGAAUUUUUAUGUUUUACAUAUGUUCUUUUCCUUGUAUGCUUAUUAAUAGGUCAUGGGUAAAUGUAAAAGGUCACAUACUUAUCCUCACCAAAACACGGUCCAAUCGUCCAACCACCAACUGGUUAAUAUCAGACGGUUGUCCGAAUCAUAGAAUGUGGGUGAUGUCAGAGUUGAUUCCAAAAACUUCAUCCAAGGUUGAAUCCAUGAGUAUUUGUUGCAAGGAUUGGUCAGAGGUCAGGCCACACUGUAGCAAUUCCUCAUAUUUACAAAUUUUUUGAUGUUGUAUACUUUUUUCUUAUAUCGAGAUUUCCUUGUAGAGCUCAAUUGUAUGGUUUUUUUGGUGCAACAUCAAUUCCUGAAGUGAUAAUUGCAGGGUUUUGUAUUAUGGAAAAUUAUAGAAACAUUGUACAAUGUCCUAAAUGUUAUUUUCUUUUUACAGACUUUUGAUCUCAGCAUAGAUCUAAGUGCUGCUGAAGAAUGAUGACUGCAUCCAGGGUAUAUGACAGGAAAGUUCUCAUCUCAGUAUUUUUUAUCAUAUGAUCAUAUCAAUAUAGCAUUCUAUUUGAAAUUGAAUGGAUCUGCAAUGAUGAUAUGUGCUUCUUGAAUAUAUUCUCCCUGAACAUAACAUAACUAUUAAGUUAGCAUUGUACAGUAAGAUUCAUUGUUUUUGAUGUGUUUCACUGUUGUCAAGGUUGUAUCGGAGAUGGAUUAUGCUUUAGAAGAAUGAUGGUUCUCUCCUGUGUUCGUUGCAUUCUUUGUCAGUUUGUCCACUCUUUUGUUUCAUUGGUCAAAACAAACCUGUUGCUUAAAGAGAAUCAUGCUUCAGAGUUGUGUUGGAUGCUGUGGAUAUCAUGCUUUUUUUUUUUGUCUCAUGCAUAGGAGAGGAUAAAUUGCUUUCUAAGUUAGACUAUUGAAGUGCAUGCACCAAAUCAUCUUACAUUGAACACAUAUCAUAGUUUCUAAGCUUGUAUAUAGUUUCCAGAUUCAGAAACCACAAAUGCAUCACCUUUGGAUUUUAUAAUUCUUUUUAACUGGAAUUUUCAUUACAUUAAAUUGCAUAUUAGAUUGCUCCCAUGGAUUCAAAUAUGAGAUUUAUCACCAGGAUGUCUCAGAAAGAAACACCUUGGGAUUCCAUUUUGAUGUCAAGUGUGCAUAGGUACAUCAUUUAGGAGGAUAGAUGCCAUCAAUCUCAAGUAUUUUUCUGCUUAACCCUAAAAUAGCAACUGCUUUUAGGUAGAGAAAAGAACCUCGUAGUUGUCAUUUUAUACUGGAUUUUCUGGUAAAUUUGCAUAUAUAUAUAUAUAUUUUUUUUUUUGAAACAAUCCUCUAUCUUUGAUAAAUUUUUAUAAAGCUUCUCAAUUUUCAAAAUUUUUUAUAGAGUAUUUUUUUUAAUAUAAAUAAUCAUUUUACCUUGAACCAUUAUCAGAUCUCUAUCUUACACCCUUGUCAUAUGUUGCAUUCACCGUUGUCUCUCCUCCUUUUUGCCUUACCAGAUCCUUACCAGAUAUGUUGUCGCUUUUACCCUUGGCUUCCGUUGAACCUAUCACCUUUGCCUUUAUACAGUCAGUAAUGACGGUGACCUCAUUGGACCCUUUCUUGCGGGCGAGGACGACGAGGAUUGCCAUUGCCUUUGCGAAUCUUGUUGGACCCUCUCUUGUGUACGAGGGCUAUUGUCGUUGCAUCCUCUCCUUCCUCGUGUGAGGGUAACAACGACUUCUCUCUUUCCUUAUAUGAGGCUAUCGUCUUAAUGCCCUUUCCUUCCUUGCACAAUGAUUA